GCGAAAAUGACUCAACGGUAGAGUGCCACCUUGCCAAGGUGGAGGCUGCGGGUUCGAAUCCCGUUUUUCGCUCCA
rnacentral:tRNA from 1 species